rnacentral:tRNA from 1 species
GCACCUGUGGUACAAAGGGUUUGCACUUGACUGCUAACCUAAAGGUUGGUGGUUCAAACCCACCCAGUGGUA